rnacentral:lncRNA from 1 species
CUCUCAGAAGCAAUUGACCAUCUCCAGUGUAACUCCUGGUUAGUAAAUUUGCAAAUUAUUCGCGAAUUAUUCGCAAAUUAUUGAAAAUCCAAAUUAAACGGUCCAUUUACGAAUUUUUUCGAAAGAAAGAGAAUUAUUCGCGAAUUUUUAUUCGCGAAUUUUUGGGCCAGCUGAAUUAUUCGCGAAUAAUUCGCAAAUUAUUCGCGAAUUAUUGCCGAAUUAUUGAAAAUAUGAAUAAAAAACUUAUAAUUUUAUUAUUAAAUAUAAAUUAUUUUAUAUUUUAUAUUUUAUACCGAAUUUGUUUUUUAAGCCAAAUUUUUUAACGAAUUUAAAAAUUAGAAAACGAAUUUUAUACGUAUUAUAUCCGUACAGAAUUUUUGCCGAAUCCGAAUUAACUAACUAU